AAUGAACGUUGGCGGCGUGGAUUAGGCAUGCAAGUCGAACGCGAACGGGCAACCUAGUAGCGUGGCGAAAGGGGUAGUAAUGCAUAGGCAACCUGCCCUCGGGUCUGGGAUAUACGGUGGAAACGCCGGGCAAUACUGGACGUCGUCGGAAGUUGGCAUCAAUUUCCGAUGAAAGGAAUCCGCCCGAGGAGGGACCUAUGUCCUAUCAGCUAGUUGGCGGGGUAAUGGCCCACCAAGGCGACGACGGGUAGGGGGUGUGAGAGCAUGAUCCCCACCAUUGGGACUGAGACACUGCCCAGACUCCUACGGGAGGCUGCAGUCGAGAAUCUUCGGCAAUGGGCGCAAGCCUGACCGAGCGACGCCGCGUGGAGGAUGAAGGCCUUCGGGUUGUAAACUCCUGUUGAGGGGGAACAAAUCAAUGAGUGAACCCUUGAGGAAGCACGGGCUAAGUUCGUGCCAGCCGCCGCUGUAAAAC
rnacentral:rRNA from 1 species